rnacentral:rRNA from 1 species
UGGGGAAUAUUGGGCAAUGGAGGAAACUCUGACCCAGCAAUGCCGCGUGAAUGAAGAAGGUCUUCGGAUUGUAAACUUUUGUCCUAUGGGAAGAAGAAAGUGACGGUACCAUAGGAGGAAGCCACGGCUAACUACGUGCCAGCAGCCGCGGUAAUACGUAGGUGGCGAGCGUUGUCCGGAUUUACUGGGUGUAAAGGGCGCGUAGGCGGGCGCUUAAGUCAGAUGUGAAAUACCGGAGCUCAACUCCGGGGCUGCAUUUGAAACUGGGCGUCUUGAGUGCGGGAGAGGUAAGUGGAAUUCCUAGUGUAGCGGUGAAAUGCGUAGAUAUUAGGAGGAACACCAGUGGCGAAGGCGACUUACUGGACCGUAACUGACGCUGAGGCGCGAAAGCGUGGGGAGCAAACAGG